UACGUAGGGGGCAAGCGUUGUCCGGAUUUAUUGGGCGUAAAGAGCGUGUAGGCGGUUUGGUAGGUCCGUUGUGAAAACUCGAGGCUCAACCUCGAGACGCCGAUGGAAACCAUCAGACUAGAGUCCGGAAGAGGAGAGUGGAAUUCCUGGUGUAGCGGUGAAAUGCGCAGAUAUCGGGAGGAACACCGGUGGCGAAGGCGGUUCUCUGGGCCUUACCUGACGCUGAGGAGCGAAAGCGUGGGGAGCGAACAGG
rnacentral:rRNA from 1 species